UACGGAGGGGGCUAGCGUUGUUCGGAAUUACUGGGCGUAAAGCGCACGUAGGCGGCUUUGUAAGUUAGAGGUGAAAGCCCGGGGCUCAACUCCGGAAUUGCCUUUAAGACUGCAUCGCUAGAAUUGUGGAGAGGUAAGUGGAAUUCCGGGUGUAGAGGUGAAAUUCGUAGAUAUUCGGAAGAACACCAGUGGCGAAGGCGACUUACUGGACAGAUAUUGACGCUGAGGAGCGAAAGCGUGGGGAGCAAACAGG
rnacentral:rRNA from 1 species